rnacentral:lncRNA from 1 species
GGUAGGGACUGAUCACAGCCCCCAUUCUCUGUUCCCCUGCACUGCUUGGGAGGAGGUGGAAGAGGGUUUUCUCACUGCUCUAGCUUGUUCUUAAUAGGUAAUAAAUUCCAUUAAUCUCCCUAUGCGGAGUUUUGCCCAUGAAAAUAAUUGUUAUCUCUCUGUCCUUAUCUCAACCUUUGGUCCCUUUCCAUUGUAAUUUCUCCCCUUUUCCCUUUGAGAAGAGGGAAUGAGAGAGAGGUUGUGGUGGAAUUCACCUGCCCACGCAAGUAAAACCACCACACUAUGCUAUCGGAAUUAAGUGAUUUUAAUGGAGAACAUUUCUGCAGUGUGUUUGUUUCUAAGCUGGUGUUGAAGUUUACUGAGUUAGACUAUUAAGUUUGUCAUAACAGCAGAAAGUAUCUACAUAUUCCUGUGACAUUCAGCUACCUGCAAAGAGAAGAGUAUGAAGUUAGGAAGAACAGUUACAUCAGCAUUGUUAGUGGAGGGACACAAUUUUUCCUUGUUUCUCAACUUUUCCUGUGUCAUCUCAGUAUAGGAGGGAGGAAAAUCCUGUUUCUACUUGUCAUGAAUGAUGCAUUACACGAAAGGUAGAUUCUUCAUGUAUCCACCUCUUCCCAACUUAAGAUGUUUCUCUCAAACUUAUUGAGAUGAUGAAAAUUGUUUGCCUCCAUGUGAAAAUAAAUAAAUAAAUCAAGCAAGCAAGCCUUUAAGGAACAUUUUUCACUUUGUUUGUAGGAACACAGAAGUUGCCUGAGUGGAUCGGAUCUGUUGUUUAAUUAGUGUAGCCUACUCCUACCCUUUGGAGGAAUGGUCAACAAAGCCUUUAGUAGGCAGGGAGGCCUACGUAGACUACAUGGAGAUAAGAGAUCAAUCAUACUACAAAGAGAUCUGUGGGAAAAGUGCUGCACUGAGUGUCUCAUUGCAUUCUGACUUCAAGGAGCUUAUACGAGCUGCUAGACAGGAAAGCAUUAAGGAUUUAGGUCCUACAAAGUGAGCAGCUAGCAGUCUUCACCAAGACCAUAGGAACAUACCAUAGAGGAUGAUCAUGGUCAAGGAUAUAACAUGCCUCUUCUUGUUGUGGAAGAAAACAAGCACUGGUCUUCAGCAGACUGUUGAAGAUACAGCAAAAAGGAAAAGGAAAGCCAAUAUAUCUGGAAUCUAAAAAGAUCAUUCUGGAGAGGAGAAAAUGAGUUAAGGGACUUGAUGAUCACAUGCAGUUCCAACAGAAGUGUCCAUUGCAAUUAACACAGAGAUUCAAAGUUAUUUUAAUGUCUUUAAUCAGAAUCAUACCAAUUUUAUAGAGAUAUCAAAGACAUUUUUCCUGAAAACUCUUCUUCCUCCAGUUCCUCUGAUUGUAAUGCCGUUGUGGAUUCCAAGCUGGUAGAGGUCUGAACUCCAUGCUCAUUUUGUAAAAGAAUUAAAAGAAAUCUUGCAGAAAAAAAUAUAGGAGGGUUUUGUUAGAUGUUUGCAUUGCAUGACUAAUAAGCAUAAAUCACUUGAUUCUCAAUAGUAUUCUUUAAGGCUAUAAAUGUUUUAAUUUGUGAUUCCUUUUUAGCAAAGAAAUAAUCACUGAGGCUCUUGAAGAUUUGGGGUGGGGGUUGGGGUAGUUUGACAUUCUGUAACAUCAGAAAAUAAGAAAUCAUAUAUUUCUUUUGCAAACCUCAGGCAAAAAUCAUUCUUGCUCAGUAAACAUGAACACUCCAUGCAGCGCUUGUUUAAAUACAAGUGUAAUGUUGCUCUCAAAAUCAAAGCAGCCUCUAGUUCUGAACAAUUCUCUACUUUACUAAAGGGCAAACACAGCCUUUGAAGUCUACAUUUGGGAAUCCUGAGAGAGGAUUUCCAAGCCUAUUGGCUAAUGUUUCUGGUAAUCUAAAAGUGAUAGAUGAUCUCUGUGAUUUUUUGCUAACUGAGGUUGCAUGGUGAUAAAAUUAAUGACCUAGAGUAAUUACAGGUAACUUACAAUAUCUAUAAAAUACUGAAUGCAUAAUAAUAUAAUGUUAAUAUUACUGUGUGAGAGAGAUGAUGAGAAUAGCAGUUAAAUGAUGUUUGUGAAAUCUUUCACAUCAUUGUAUGGAAGAUGCUAUAUACAGCAAGUGCCAAAUAUAAUGAUUAUCAUCAGCAAUAUCUUUCUCACUCUAAUUAGAUGAUUGAAGGGCAAGCCCUUGAACAAUGCUGCACAGGACAAGCUGUUCAUCACUGAAUCUCUUAAAUUUUUCUUCUUAUUAGUAUGCUAAAUGAAUUAAAGGAACAUCUAUGUACUGCGUUUUUCUUUCUUGCUGAGAUCUUUUUCUCUGGAAUAAUUGUGAAACCUGCUUUGGGAUUGGUAUUCCUUUGAUUUAGCUCAAAAUUACUUGCUUUCAAGGAGUGUAGGUUUUAUCUGUGAGCAGAAAUAGUGAUUGAUGAUCCUUACUUAUUAUAGUCUGCCCCAGCACUAAGAAGCAUAAAUGCAGGUAAUGUUUGCAGGUUUGCUGUAGUGUUAGUUUGGGUACUGACUUACUAGCUCUAUGGCAUUUCACUCAUUUUUUUCUUUUUUUUUUUUUUUUCCAAAUAAAUUGAAAAAAAAAAAUCCA